rnacentral:rRNA from 1 species
UACCAGCACCCCGAGUGGUCGGGACGAUUAUUGGGCCUAAAGCAUCCGUAGCCGGUCCUACAAGUCUUCCGUUAAAUCCACCUGCUUAACAGAUGGGCUGCGGAAGAUACUAUAGGGCUAGGAGGCGGGAGAGGCAAGCGGUACUCAGUGGGUAGGGGUAAAAUCCUCUGAUCCAUUGAAGACCACCAGUGGCGAAGGCGGCUUGCCAGAACGCGCUCGACGGUGAGGGAUGAAAGCUGGGGGAGCAACCGG